GGGCGAGGUUGCUUCGGUAACUGAGCUAGCGGCGGACGGGUGAGUAAUGCUUAGGAACCUGCCUAUUAGUGGGGGACAACAUUCCGAAAGGAAUGCUAAUACCGCAUACGCCCUACGGGGGAAAGCAGGGGAUCUUCGGACCUUGCGCUAAUAGAUGAGCCUAAGUCAGAUUAGCUAGUUGGUGGGGUAAAGGCCUACCAAGGCGACGAUCUGUAGCGGGUCUGAGAGGAUGAUCCGCCACACUGGGACUGAGACACGGCCCAGACUCCUACGGGAGGCAGCAGUGGGGAAUAUUGGACAAUGGGCGCAAGCCUGAUCCAGCCAUGCCGCGUGUGUGAAGAAGGCCUUUUGGUUGUAAAGCACUUUAAGCGAGGAGGAGGCUACUUGGAUUAAUACUCUAGGAUAGUGGACGUUACUCGCAGAAUAAGCACCGGCUAACUCUGUGCCAGCAGCCGCGGUAAUACAGAGGGUGCGAGCGUUAAUCGGAUUUACUGGGCGUAAAGCGUGCGUAGGCGGCUUCUUAAGUCGGAUGUGAAAUCCCUGAGCUUAACUUAGGAAUUGCAUUCGAUACUGGGAAGCUAGAGUAUGGGAGAGGAUGGUAGAAUUCCAGGUGUAGCGGUGAAAUGCGUAGAGAUCUGGAGGAAUACCGAUGGCGAAGGCAGCCAUCUGGCCUAAUACUGACGCUGAGGUACGAAAGCAUGGGGAGCAAACAGGAUUAGAUACCCUGGU
rnacentral:rRNA from 1 species